GAUAGUAUAGUUAACCUAUAACAUAAACAUGUCAAGUUUAAAUAACAUCAUAGUUACUAUUC
rnacentral:tRNA from 1 species